CCUAGGGGGGCAGCAGUGAGGAGUAUUGCACAAUGGGGGGAACCCUGAUGCAGCAACGCCGCGUGGAGGAUGACGCAUUUCGGUGUGUAAACUCCUUUUAUAUGCCAAGAAAAUGACGGUAGCAUAUGAAUAAGCACCGGCUAACUCCGUGCCAGCAGCCGCGGUAAUACGGAGGGUGCAAGCGUUACUCGGAAUCACUGGGCGUAAAGGACGCGUAGGCGGGUUGGAAAGUCAGGUGUGAAAUCCUACAGCUUAACUGUAGAACUGCACUUGAAACUUCUAAUCUAGAGUAUGGGAGGGGGAGAUGGAAUUAGUGGUGUAGGGGUAAAAUCCGUAGAUAUCACUAGGAAUACCUAAAGCGAAGGCGAUCUCCUGGAACAUUACUGACGCUAAGGCGUGAAAGCGUGGGGAGCAAACAGGAUUAGAUACCCCAGUAGUC
rnacentral:rRNA from 1 species